AUACGUAGGUGGCAAGCGUUGCCCGGAUUUACUGGGUGUAAAGGGCGUGUAGGCGGAGAUGCAAGUCAGGAGUGAAAUCUAGGGGCUCAACCCCUAAACUGCUUUUGAAACUGUAUCCCUUGAGUAUCGGAGAGGCAGGCGGAAUUCCUAGUGUAGCGGUGAAAUGCGUAGAUAUUAGGAGGAACACCAGUGGCGAAGGCGGCCUGCUGGACGACAACUGACGCUGAGGCGCGAAAGCGUGGGGAGCAAACAGGAUUAGAUACCCUGGUAGUCCACGCUGUAAACGAUGAAUACUAAAUGUUGGGGAGACUCAGCGUUGUAGCUAACGCAAUAAGUAAUCCGCCUGGGGAGUAUGCACGCAAGUGUGAAACUCAAAUGAAUUGACGGG
rnacentral:rRNA from 1 species